rnacentral:lncRNA from 1 species
UUAUUGAAUAAUGUUGUUAUGUUAUGCUUGUGAGACUCCAAAUAAUUCUAUAUAUAUAUAUGAUCCGAUAAGCCUAAUGCUCUUAACCCGAUUUAAACAUUUCGAGUGGUGGCUAGGACAAAUAGUUCUAGAAUGAGUGACCUUCUGAAAAGUUGGGACGUCAUAAUGCUUAUGUUACUUUAAUUAUUUAUGAAUAAAUCUCGAAAAAUAAGAAAUAAAAAUAAAGAAAGUAUAUAUGUUGGUAAGGCUAAUAAAUUGUU